GUGCUGAAUAUAUAGCUCAGUUGCUUCGAGCACGGUCCUGAUAAGACCAAGGUUGCAGGUUCGAUCCCUUCUUGGGACA